AUACUUACCUGGCAGGGGAGAUACCAUGGUCAGGAAGGUGGUUUUCCCAGGUUGAGGCUUAUUCAUUGCACUCCGGAUGUGCUGACCCCUGUGAUUUCCCCAAACGUGGGAAACUUGACUGCAUAAUUUGUGGUAGUGGGGGACUGCGUUCGCGCUCUCCCCUG
ensembl:snRNA U1 U1 spliceosomal RNA